GACAUUCUUUUUCUUUCAGCACAUUGACUAUGUUAUCCCACUGCCUUCUGACCUCCAUAGUUUCUGAUGAAAAGUCAACUGUAAAUCUUUUUUAUAAGACCUUGUAUGUGAUGAGUCAUUUUCUCUUGCUGCUUUUAUGAUUUUCUCUUUGUCUUUGGCUUUUUACCAGAGUCUGACAAUGACAUAUUGAGCUCCAGACAAGAGAAGGCCUGGCUGCGUCAAUGCAGAUUCUCUACAGAUACAAAUUUUCUCCACAAAAGACAGCUUUGCUGGACUACGUAUGUUUGCUGGCUUUUUGACAGCCAUCUCAGCCGUCUCAAAAUAUGUUAAAUAAAUAUAUUUUGGGUUAAAA